rnacentral:rRNA from 1 species
GGAGGAUGCUGCUAUUAGGAUUCGAUUAAGCCAUGCGAGUCUCUGGUCCUUGUGGCCAGGGCGAACUGCUGAGUAACAUGUAGUUAAUCUGCCCUUAAGUCUGGGAUAAUCUCGGGAAACUGAGGAUAAUACUGGAUAGGGGAUUUGGUCUGGAAUGAUAUUUCCCUUAAAGCUUCGGCGCUUAAGGAUGAGACUGCACUGGAUUAGGUUGAUGUUAGGGUAAAAUCCUACCAUGCCGAUAAUCCAUAGGGGCCGUGAGAGCGGGAGCCCCCAGACGGGUUCUGAGAUACUAACCCGGGUCCUACGGGACGCAGCAGGCGCGAAACCUCUACAAUGCACGCAAGUGUGAUAGGGGAAUCCUAAGUGCUGGCACUAAGUGUCAGCUUUUCUUGAGUCUAAAUCGCUCGAGGAAUAAGUGGUGGGUAAGACCGCUGCCAGCCGCCGCGGUAAUAGCGGCGCCACGAGUGGCAUCCAUUUAUAUUGGGUUUAAAGCAUCCGUAGCCGGCUUGAUAAGUCUACUGUGAAAUCCUGCAGAAAACUGCAGGGCGUGCGGUGGAAACUGUUGGGCUUGGAACCAGAAGAGGUCAGAGGUACUCCUAAGGUAGCGGUAAAAUGCUGUAAUCUUAGGGGGACCACCUGUGGCGAAGGCGUCUGACUGGGAUGGAUUCGACGGUGAGGGAUGAAAGCUAGGGGAGCGACCCGGAUUAGAUACCCGGGUUAGUCCUAGCUGUAAACGAUGCUCACUUGGUAUUGGGAAUCUUUUGCGGAUUUCCAGUGCCGAAGGGAAACCGUUAAGUGAGCCACCUGGGGAGUACGGUCGCAAGGCUGAAACUUAAAGGAAUUGGCGGGGGAGCACUACAAGGGGUGACGUCUGCGGUUUAAUUGGAUAAUACGCCGGGAACCUUACCAGAAGCGACAGCAGAAUGAUGGUCAGUCUGAAGGGCUUACCUGACGCGCUGAGAGGUGUUGCAUGGCCGACGUCAGCUCGUGCCGUGAGGUGUCCUGUUAAGUCAGGUAACGAGCGAGAUCCAUAUCUUAUGUUGCUAAUCUUUCCUUCGGGGAGGAUGCACUCAUAAGAGAUUGCCCGCGAUAAGUGGGAUGAAAGUAUGGGCUACGUUAGGUCAGUAUGGCCCGAAUCUUCUGGGCUACACGCGGGCCUCAAUGACAAGGACAAUGGGAUGCAACUCCGAAAGGAGAAGCAAACCCCCUAAACCUUGUCUUAGUACGGAUUGAGGAUUGCAACUCAUCCUCAUGAUGCCGGAAUCCCUAGUAGUCGAGUGUUAGCAUCGCUCGGCGAAUAUGUCCCUGCUCCUUGCACACACCGCCCACCAAACCACCUGAAUUGGAUUUAGGUGAGGUUUUAUCCUUCCGGAUAAGAUCGAACCCAGGUUCAGUAAGGGGGGU